rnacentral:lncRNA from 1 species
GGGCAAUAUUUUUGUAGAUUAUAAAAAAAUAGAACUUAUAACUGUGAAUGUUUGGCUGGUGUUAUCAUGAUUCAUAAGUUGUCUAGGAGUUAUAAUCAUGUGCAUACAAAUUGUGAUAGUAUGUUAAAAACAUAUAGGAUUAUGUAUAGGGGUAUAUUUUACAUAUAGUGUUAACAAGGGAGAGGUGAAAGAUACCAAAGGACCAUCAAACUUAUAAAGCCAUUCAAGUUCCUGUUGGCUUAUGACAGGCACUUACCUGACCACAAACAAAUAGAAAUUAAAUUCUGGUUGUUUUUGUCAGGAACAAAACAUUUUUUUUUU